rnacentral:rRNA from 1 species
GACGAACGCUGGCGGCGUGCCUCAAACAUGCAAGUCGAGCGGGGAACUUUUAAAAGCGCAAGCUUUUGUAAGUUCCUAGCGGCGAACGGGUGAGUAACACGUGGGCAACCUACCCAGAAGACCGGGAUAACGGCUCGAAAGGGCCGCUAAUACCGGAUAAUGUCGGGGUACCGCAUGGUACUCCGAAGAAAGGGGAAACCCGCUUUUGGAUGGGCCCGCGUCCCAUCAGCUAGUUGGUGAGGUAACGGCUCACCAAGGCGACGACGGGUAGCCGGUCUGAGAGGAUGGUCGGCCACACUGGGACUGAGACACGGCCCAGACUCCUACGGGAGGCAGCAGUUGGGAAUCUUGGGCAAUGGGCGAAAGCCUGACCCAGCGACGCCGCGUGAGGGGAAGAAGGGCCUUCGGGUCGUAAACCUCUGUCAUGGGGGAAGAAGCAAGUGACGGUACCCAAGAGGAAGCCCCUGCUAACUACGUG